AUGCAGUCCCCCACUUCGGUCCCGUCUCAACGCCCGGCAAACGACCACCGUCCACCUGUGAGCGUGCUACAGUGCGAGAGCAUCCGCCAUUAUAACCGGCAGACGAGUGCGUCGGCCAAGCAACUGCUCUACCAGACUCACUCCACACUCCGCUUCCGUGGAACGGACGAAGCUAACCAGCAACAGCGAGCGAUGGGGCCAUCCACCAUGGCUCGAGCCCUCGCGGCCGCGGCUGCCGUCCUCGCCGCCGUGGUCUGCGCCGGCGCGACCCCGGAGACGACGUGCAGGGCGGCGGCGGGCGCCGACAGGCGCGUGGACUACCGCUUCUGCGUGUCCAGGCUGAGCCAGCACCACGACAGCCCCGACGCCGACACGUGGGGCCUGGCCAAGGUGGCCGCCGACGUGGGCGUGCUCAUGGCCAGCAACGGCGUCUACGACAUCAAGGCCAUGCUCGCCGGCAAGGAGGAGCGGCCGGCGGGCGCCAGGGCGCGCGGGCCGCUGGAGCAGUGCGAGGCGCUGUACGACAGGAUGGGCGCCGCGUUCGCCGAGGCGUACGACGGCAUCGACCGGCGCGACUACGCGGCGGGCAAGGAGAAGGCCGGCGAGGCCGCGUCCCUCGCGCGCCGCUGCGCCCACGCCUUCGCCCGCGCCGGCGUCGCCGUGCCGCCGCGGCUGGCGAAGCAGGGCGCCGACUCGGUGCAGAUGGCCAUCGUCUGCACCGCCAUUACCAACCUCGUCAAGUGA
rnacentral:rRNA from 1 species